rnacentral:rRNA from 1 species
AGCGAACGCUGGCGGCAGGCCUAACACAUGCAAGUCGAACGAACUCUUCGGAGUUAGUGGCGGACGGGUGAGUAACACGUGGGAACGUGCCUUUAGGUUCGGAAUAACUCAGGGAAACUUGUGCUAAUACCGAAUGCGCCCUUCGGGGGAAAGAUUUAUCGCCUUUAGAGCGGCCCGCGUCUGAUUAGCUAGUUGGUGAGGUAAAGGCUCACCAAGGCGACGAUCAGUAGCUGGUCUGAGAGGAUGAUCAGCCACAUUGGGACUGAGACACGGCCCAAACUCCUACGGGAGGCAGCAGUGGGGAAUCUUGCGCAAUGGGCGAAAGCCUGACGCAGCCAUGCCGCGUGAAUGAUGAAGGUCUUAGGAUUGUAAAAUUCUUUCACCGGGGACGAUAAGGACGGUACCCGGAGAAGAAGCCCCGGCUAACUUCGU